rnacentral:lncRNA from 1 species
GCCCUUUUGUAAUGGCGCUUCCAUUCUUCCUGACUUCUUCGGUCUAACCAAGAGUUUCUAGCCUUUUUGUCUAGGCUUGCGUUCUUCAUGCCAAAAAUUCAUUGUGCAAUUAGCCCCAUCGUGGAUGAAGCUUCAAGUAUCUUUAUACACAGUUUUCCUGAUGCUGACAUGGCACAUUUAAAUGGAAAUGAAAAUGAUGAUGGCAUCAAAAUGGCAAGCUUUCGAAGCCCCUUCUUCUAUAUAGCAAAGGUUCCGGGAGACAUUUAACAAAUAAAAUAAGAUUCAUGCCUAUAACCCCAGCAUUUCAGAUUUGGAGGCAAGAGGAUCUCAGGAAUUCAAGGUCAUCCUUGGCUCUACAGAUAGUUCAAGAUCAUCCUAGUCUAUAUGCCUCACCUCAAAGAAAACACAAAAACAAGGCUUUCCUCAUGGCUCAGCAGAUAAGAGCACACAAGCAUGGGAACCCGAGUUCAAGUCCCCAGUACCCAUAACAUGACCAUGAACUCGCUGAUGCUAUGAUAACCUGCACAAGAUCGGGGCAGCAUUCUGACAGACAGCACUAAUUAGACUCAGUAUGGUGGGGGGAGGAAGAGGGAGAGGGAGGACGUGAAGAAGGAGGGGCUAUGUUGGGGGUCUCGGCAGCAUUGGAAGGGGUUUAGGAGGGGGUAUAAUUACAUUCAUUGUUUGCACUUGUCAAAGAAUAAAUAAAAAAAAAUGUUUUAAGAAAC